CCUACGGGUGGCAGCAGUGAGGAAUAUUGGUCAAUGGACGCAAGUCUGAACCAGCCAUGCCGCGUGCAGGAAGACGGCUCUGUGAGUUGUAAACUGCUUUUGUACGAGGGUAAACGCAGAUACGCGUAUCUGUCUGAAAGUAUCGUACGAAUAAGGAUCGGCUAACUCCGUGCCAGCAGCCGCGGUAAUACGGAGGAUUCAAGCGUUAUCCGGAUUUAUUGGGUUUAAAGGGUGCGUAGGCGGUCGGAUAAGUUAGAGGUGAAAUCCCGAGGCUCAACUUCGGAAUUGCCUCUGAUACUGGUCGGCUAGAGAGUAGUUGCGGUAGGCGGAAUGUAUGGUGUAGCGGUGAAAUGCUUAGAUAUCAUACAGAACACCGAUUGCGAAGGCAGCUUACCA
rnacentral:rRNA from 1 species